GACAGAGGCCUCAAGCGUUAGGCGGAAUCACUGGGCUUAAAGCGUGUGUAGGCGGACGCCUAAGUGUCUUGUGAAAUCCCACGGCUCACCCGUGGAACUGCUGGGCAUACUGGGCGUCUUGGGCCAACUAGGGGCAGCCGGAACAAGCGGUGGAGCGGUGAAAUGCGUAGAUAUCGCUUGGAACGCCGGAAGGUGAAAACAGGCUGCUGGGGUUGCGCC
rnacentral:rRNA from 1 species